GUUUGGCUCGAGGCCCGACGGGACCUUUCAGCGAGGCUCCCCAGAGACAGUUUGGUAUCAGAGCCGCGGGAACCAAAACAGCAGACCAGCUCUUUAUGACCUUGGCCAAAUCGCCCUUGGUCCCGAGGGUUCUCUGGUGGUAGCUGAUCAAAUAAUGAAAAAAAUAUAAAGGAACCUUUAUUUAUGGCAAGGAAACUGGUUUCCAUCUUGAAGCAGUGCAACACCUUAAUGAUACAACCAAACAUUUUUAGUGAUUUUCAAGAGAUAGCACUGGUGAGAUCUGGAUAUGGUAUUAUGGAAGAGGAAGGGGUAACAUUAAAGUUACUGUACAAUUGUUGAUGUUUGGGAUGUUUGGAAAGUGCUAUAAAGGCCCUUCUGAGACCUAGAGACAGAGAAGGACGAAGGUCGAUGGCAAGGAAGGGCGAAAGGUUUCUCCGCAGUCUGCUUCCCCGAGACUAUUGGCUUCAGGCAGGGCAGGCUUCACAGUCUAAGAUGACACGGCCCUUCCAGGAAAUACACCGGCUAUUUUUGUUUUCCUCUGGCCUCAGCAUGAUGCUCGGAGCGAUGGCAAAACUUUCGGUAUCUGCAUGAAUUAUAACUCUUCGGCGAAGAUAAAAAGGCUGCUGCGAGAAACUGCCCCAGCGCUAUAAGGGCUGUCAGUCUGGAGGGCAUCUCAAAUGAGAUUAAUGAUGUCAGCACUAAUAUAAGAAGAUUUAGCAUAACCAAGAUUAUGGCUUCUGCAGAAACCUGCCAGCACUCAUUUAUUUUGAAUAAAUAUUAUUUUUAAUUAAA